AGCGAACGCUGGCGGCAUGCUUAACACAUGCAAGUCGCACGGUCAGCAAUGGCAGUGGCGGACGGGUGAGUAACACGUAGGAAUCUAUCCUUGAAUGGGGGACAACCGUGGGAAACUACGGCUAAUACCGCAUGAUGCCUGAGGGCCAAAGACGUAAGUCGUUUGAGGAGGAGCCUGCGUCUGAUUAGCUAGUUGGUGGGGUAAAGGCCUACCAAGGCGACGAUCAGUAGCUGGUCUGAGAGGAUGAUCAGCCACAUUGGGACUGAGACA
rnacentral:rRNA from 1 species